CCCACCUGCGCUUUCUCAAAGAAACUUUUACAGUGUGUUGUACUACUUUUGGGACAAAUUAUAUCAAAAUUAUAGAAAACUUCAUCGUCUCUAACUCAAAAUAUGGACAAUUUUAUCUUUAGGGCGUCUUGAAAUCUUUUGACAGCUUCCGAAGUGCUAUUUUUCAACCUUUUUCACCUGGACCAAAUCACUACUUUCCUUUAAAAUUCUGGACCCAAAUUUUUUUACAGUGUAAUUU
rnacentral:lncRNA from 1 species